rnacentral:rRNA from 1 species
GCAACAGAAGAAGACACCGGCUAACUCCGUGCCAGCAGCCGCGGUAAGUACGGAGGGUGCGAGCGUUAAUACGGAAUUACUGGGCGUAAAGACGCAUGCAGGUGGUUUGGUUAAGUUCAAGAUGUGAAAGGACCCGGGGCGUCCAACCUUACCGGAACGUAGCAUUUAGUAAACGUAGGCGAGACAGAGUACUGUAGAGGGGGGUAGGAAUUUCAGGUGUAGCGGUGAAAUGCGUAGAGAUCUGAAGGAAUACCGGUGGCGAAGGCGGCCCCCUGGACCAGAUACUGACACUCAGAUGCGAAAGCGUGGGGAGCAAACAGGAUUAGAUACCCUGGUAG